GCCGGGCAUGGUGGUGCAUGCCUGUAAUCCCAGCUACUCGGGAGGCUGAGGCAGGAGAAUUGCUUGAAUCUGGGAGGCUGAGGUUGCAGUGAGCUGAGAUCGAGCCAUUGCUCUCCAGCCUAGGCAACAAGAGUGAAACUCUUGUCUCAGAAAAACCAGUCCAGGUGUGGUGGUCAUGCCUGUAAUCCCAGCACUUUGGGAGGCCAAGGAGGGUGAUCACUUGAGCCAAGGAGUUCAAGACCAGCCUGCGUAACAUAGCGAGACCUUGUCUCU
rnacentral:sRNA from 1 species